UAUAUCGGGUAACUUUUAUUA
rnacentral:piRNA from 1 species